UACAGGGGGUGCAAGCGUUGCUCGGAAUUAUUGGGCGUAAAGCGCGCGUAGGCGGCCACUUAAGUCGGAUGUGAAAGCCCCUGGCUCAACUGGGGAAGUGCACCCGAAACUGAAUGGCUUGAGUGCGGAAGAGGGUCGCGGAAUUCCCGGUGUAGAGGUGAAAUGCGUAGAUAUCGAGAGGAACACCAGCGGCGAAAGCGGGUUGCUGGGCCGACACUGACGCUGAAGCGCGAAAGCCAGGGGAGCGAACGGG
rnacentral:rRNA from 1 species